UACGGAGGGUGGCAAACGUUGCUCGGAAUCAUUGGGCGUAAAGCGCACGUAGGCGGCCUGUUAAGUCGGGUGUGAAAGCCCUGGGCUCAACCCAGGAAGUGCACUCGAAGCUGGACAGGCUUGAAUAUGGAAGAGGGUCGCGGAAUUCCCGGUGUAGAGGUGGAAAUUCGUAGAUAUCGGGAGGAACACCAGUGGCGAAGGCGGCCGACCUGGGCCAAUAUUGACCGCUGAGGUGCGAAAGCGUGGGGAGCAAACAGGG
rnacentral:rRNA from 1 species